CGCGGCCUAUCAGCUUGUUGGUGAGGUAAUGGCUCACCAAGGCUUCGACGGGUAGCCGGCCUGAGAGGGCGACCGGCCACACUGGGACUGAGAUACGGCCCAGACUCCUACGGGAGGCAGCAGUGGGGAAUAUUGCACAAUGGGCGCAAGCCUGAUGCAGCAACGCCGCGUGCGGGAUGACGGCCUUCGGGUUGUAAACCGCUUUCAGUAGGGACGAAGCUAACGUGACGGUACCUACAGAAGAAGGACCGGCUAACUACGUGCCAGCAGCCGCGGUGAUACGUAGGGUCCGAGCGUUGUCCGGAAUUAUUGGGCGUAAAGGGCUUGUAGGCGGUCCGUCGCGUCAGGAGUGAAAACUCGGGGCUUAACCCCGAGCCUGCUUUUGAUACGGGCGGACUAGAGGGAUGCAGGGGAGAACGGAAUUCCUGGUGGAGCGGUGGAAUGCGCAGAUAUCAGGAGGAACACCGGCGGCGAAGGCGGUUCUCUGGGCAUCACCUGACGCUGAGAAGCGAAAGCGUGGGGAGCAAACAGGCUUAGAUACCCUGGUAGUCCACGCCGUAAACGGUGGGCACUAGGUGUGGGGGACAUUCCACGUUCUCCGUGCCGAAGCUAACGCAUUAAGUGCCCCGCCUGGGGAGUACGG
rnacentral:rRNA from 1 species